rnacentral:rRNA from 1 species
CCUACGGGCGGCAGCAGUGAGGAAUAUUGGUCAAUGGGCGCUAGCCUGAACCAGCCAAGCAGCGUGAAGGAUGACUGCCCUAUGGGUUGUAAACUUCUUUUAUAUGGGAGUAAAGUGCAGGAUGUAUACUGCUUUGCAUGUACCUUAUGAAUAAGGAUCGGCUAACUUCGUGCCAGCAGCCGCGGUAAUACGGUGGAUCCGAGCGUUAUCCGGAUUUAUUGGGUUUAAAGGGAGCGUAGGCGGGUUGUUAAGUCAGUUGUGAAAGUUUGCGGCUCAACCGUAAAAUUGCAGUUGAUACUGGCAGCCUUGAGUACAGGAGAGGUAGGCGGAAUUCCUGGUGUAGCGGUGAAAUGCGUAGAUAUCACGAAGAACACCGAUUGCGAAGGCGGCCUGCUGGACUGUAACUGACGCUGAGGCUCGAAAGUGUGGGUAGCAAACAGGAUUAGAUACCCGUGUAGUC